GCUGGUAUGGCUCAGUGGUAGAGGAUUCGACUGCAGAUCGAGAGGUUCCGGGUUCAAACCAGGGUGCCCUCC
rnacentral:tRNA from 1 species